rnacentral:rRNA from 1 species
UGUAUAAUGGGUCAGCGACUUAUAUUCUGUAGCAAGGUUAACCGAAUAGGGGAGCCGAAGGGAAACCGAGUCUUAACUGGGCGUUAAGUUGCAGGGUAUAGACCCGAAACCCGGUGAUCUAGCCAUGGGCAGGUUGAAGGUUGGGUAACACUAACUGGAGGACCGAACCGACUAAUGUUGAAAAAUUAGCGGAUGACUUGUGGCUGGGGGUGAAAGGCCAAUCAAACCGGGAGAUAGCUGGUUCUCCCCGAAAGCUAUUUAGGUAGCGCCUCGUGAAUUCAUCUCCGGGGGUAGAGCACUGUUUCGGCAAGGGGGUCAUCCCGACUUACCAACCCGAUGCAAACUGCGAAUACCGGAGAAUGUUAUCACGGGAGACACACGGCGGGUGCUAACGUCCGUCGUGAAGAGGGAAACAACCCAGACCGCCAGCUAAGGUCCCAAAGUCAUGGUUAAGUGGGAAACGAUGUGGGAAGGCCCAGACAGCCAGGAUGUUGGCUUAGAAGCAGCCAUCAUUUAAAGAAAGCGUAAUAGCUCACUGGUCGAGUCGGCCUGCGCGGAAGAUGUAACGGGGCUAAACCAUGCACCGAAGCUG